rnacentral:rRNA from 1 species
GACGAACGCUGGCGGCGUGCCUCAGACAUGCAAGUCGAACGCGAAAGUCCCCUUCGGGGGACAAGUAGAGUGGCGCACGGGUGAGUAACACGUAGGUAAUCCACCUUCGGAUGGGGAAUAACAACCGGAAACGGUUGCUAAUACCGCAUAAUGCAGCGGCACCUAAUGGUGACAGUUGUUAAAGCGGGGGAUCGAAAGACCUCGCGUCUGAAGAGGAGCCUGCGGCGG